ACGCAUGAAUUAGCGAGCUAAAUUUUAAAACAUAAGGGAGGGAAAUUGGGGCGCAAAUUGAAGGCUGUGCACAAGGGAAGGAUUCAGCGCGCAAUUUCCCCAUUCACACAACAUGGUGCAGAUCCAUUUUACUAUUCGGGCCCACGCGCGGACCUUUAUGGUCAUGGGCAGCACUGUUUUGUAUUUCAGACCAUUUUAAACCAUUUUUCCCUUCCUUUCCUUUCAAAUACCCAUCCAUUUUAACAAAAACCAGCAGCCUUAAAAUUAAAUUUGCUAGGGUUCCUUUUACAAGCAGCUAGAUCUCCAUCAAAUUUGGUGUCCAGCGGCGCGCAAAACAAUUCCCGAUUCUGUUGCUGUAAGUACUCGAUUAUGCCUUGAGGAAAUUAGUGCGGAGCACGGGGUUGUGUGUUGGCACUCGAGUAUGGGUUCAGAGACUGGGGCGACGUGAGGCCGUGCGUUGGCCCUUGGCACGAGGGUAUGGGGCGAUGGCAGACAGUAUGGGCGAUUGAACUUGGGGGCUGAGAAGUUUUAGGACUAGUUGGGCUAAGGUUUAGUUUUGGGCUUGGGUAUAUUGGGCUGUUAUAUUUGUUUAUGGGCCCGGGCUAUAUUGGGUCUGUACAAAAGGUAUAAAAGGAGAAAAAAGGACACAUUACCUUGCAUUUCCUGGUAUUCAAGCUGUAGUGAGAGCAACUGUCCCUGAAAACUAUAUAAAAGAAAAUUUCAUCCCACAGUAAUACAAUUUGAGAAGACAAAUUCAAAAUA